UACGUAGGGUCCGAGCGUUGUCCGGAAUUACUGGGCGUAAAGAGCUCGUAGGUGGUUUGUCGCGUUGUUCGUGAAAACUCACAGCUCAACUGUGGGCGUGCGGGCGAUACGGGCAGACUUGAGUACUGCAGGGGAGACUGGAAUUCCUGGUGUAGCGGUGGAAUGCGCAGAUAUCAGGAGGAACACCGGUGGGCGAAGGCGGGGUCUCUGGGCAGUAACUGACGCUGGAGGCGCGAAAGCUAGGGGAGCAAACAGG
rnacentral:rRNA from 1 species